rnacentral:rRNA from 1 species
AACACAUGCAAGUCGAACGGAAAGGCUCCUGCUUGCUGGGGUGCUCGAGUGGCGAACGGGUGAGUAACACGUAAGUGAUCUGCCCUGCACUGGGGGAUAAGCUUGGGAAACUGGGUCUAAUACCCUAUAGGACCGCAUCGUGGUUGGUGUGGUGGAAAGGUUUUUCUGGUGUGGGAUGAGCUUGCGGCCUAUCAGCUUGUUGGUGGGGUAAUGGCCUACCAAGGCGGCGACGGGUAGCCGGCCUGAGAGGGUGUGCGGCCACAUUGGGACUGAGAUACGGCCCAGACUCCUACGGGAGGCAGCAGUGGGGAAUUUUGCACAAUGGGCGGAAGCCUGAUGCAGCGACGCCGUGUGGGGGAUGAAGGCCUUCGGGUUGUAAACUCCUUUCGUCAGGGACGAAGUUUUUUUGACGGUACCUGGAUAAGAAGCACCGGCUAACUACGUGCCAGCAGCCGCGGUAA